rnacentral:tRNA from 1 species
GUCUCGGUAGUAUAAGGGAUAGAGCACUGUGCCCGGAAAGCACAAGUACGGGUUCGAGUCCCGUCCGAGACU